UACGGAGGAGGCAAGCGUUAUCCGGAAUUAUUGGGCGUAAAGCGUCCGUAGGUGGCUAGUCAAGUCUGCGGUCAAAGACUGGGGCAUAACCCUGGAAAGGCCGUGGAAACUGACGAGCUAGAGUGCAGUAGGGGUAGAGGGAAUUCCCGGUGUAGCGGUGAAAUGCGUAGAGCUCGGGAAGAACAUCGGUGGCGAAAGCGCUCUACUGGACUGCAACUGACACUCAGGGACGAAAGCUAGGGGAGCGAAUGGG
rnacentral:rRNA from 1 species